AAUACGGAAGGAAGAGUGGGGAUUUGUUACCUACAGAUGAUUUAGGUAUUUAAUCACCACCAUCAACCAUCGUUCCACCCAUAAUAGCAAUAUCUAUCAUCUGUUAAAGGAAAUCACCACCUGUCUCCUCCUUCUAUCUUCCCUAACCGGCAACAUUCACACCAAACACCUCCGUCUCCACUGGUAAUCUACUACCUCUGCCAUUGCUUCACCGCCGCCACCACCACCACCACCACCAUAGAAAAUCCACCAUUAGUCUUGAUUUUGUUUAGCCUUCAAAAACCCGUUCGUUGCUUACCCUUUCUUCUUUGUUCGAAACCCUAAUAUGCCCAAAACCCACCGUUAAUUGCCAAAUCUGCCUCAUCCAAAUGCUCUCCAAUUCCAUUGUUCUUUCUUAUCCUGCCCAAAUGUAUCCCAGGUUCGAAACCCUAAUAUAAACGAUUUUGUUGGCAGAGUGAAUCAACUUGAAAAUAUUGAACGAUAUCGGUAUUUACUGGAUCACCGUCGUCCUUGGCCAUCCACGACCAUCGAUGCUAUCAUCUCUUCUCGAAAUAGUUAAAAUUAGAUGCAAAAGGCAAGCCGGUGGGCAGGCUGUUUUAGAAGUUGUGGAAGUUGGAUGUCAAGAUGGUUUAAGUGAUUUUUGUGAGUAAAAUGCUUCCCAAUAUGAAUGGGUCACAUGACUGCUAUACUUCUCAAUCAAACCUUACAAUUAAUUGUUGGAAGAAUAUAACAUGGUUGAAACACGUUGCAAAACUUGAUGUUCCUGUUAAGCUCUAAAUCGGUUCAGCAGUAGCAUAGCAUACAGUAUGGAUGAAAUUGACAUGGUGUUUGUUGGGGAUGAUGGAGUUGUUGAAAGUGGUGGCAUAAUCAACAUGAUGGGAACAUAUCAAAUUGCUAUGGUGGCUAAAACCAUGGACAAAACUGUUUGUGUUGCUGCUGAAAGCUACAAGUUUGCGCGACUGUAUCCAUUGAAUCAAAAAGACAUGGUGGUUGCUUUAAAACCAAUUGAUUUUGGGGUUCCUAUUCCAUUAAAAGUUAGGUUGAAACAUCUGCUAGGGAUUACAGUCCACCUCAAUAUCUUACCUUGCUAUUCACAGAUUUGGGUGUUUUGACACCAUCUGUUGUUAGUGAUGAGCUCAUUCAGCUAUACUUAUGAGUUAUGAUCAUGAAGUUACGAUCUUUUAAUGAUUCAUUGGCUAGAAACAUGUUUAGUUACGGGUAGAAAGAGUAGGUCAAAGUGCUUUUCUUUAUAAUAUAGUGUGAAUCUUGUAAUUGAAAAGCAAAGAAUAGUUGAAUGAUUCUCACAUGUUUUCAUGGCUAUUGCUAUUUAUGCAAGAUUUGAUGUGGUUUUUGGUGAA